AACGAACGCUGGCGGCAUGCCUAACACAUGCAAGUCGAACGAGACCUUCGGGUCUAGUGGCGCACGGGUGCGUAACGCGUGGGAAUCUACCCUCAGGUUCGGAAUAACUCAGAGAAAUUUAAGCUAAUACCGGAUGAUGACGUAAGUCCAAAGAUUUAUCGCCUGAGGAUGAGCCCGCGUAGGAUUAGGUAGUUGGUGAGGUAAAGGCUCACCAAGCCGACGAUCCUUAGCUGGUCUGAGAGGAUGAUCAGCCACACUGGGACUGAGACACGGCCCAGACUCGUACGGGAGGGAGCAGUGGGGAAUAGUGGACAAUGGGCGAAAGCCUGAUCCAGCAAUGCCGCGUGAGUGAUGAAGGCCUUAGGGUUGUAAAGCUCUUUUAACCGGGAUGAUAAUGACAGUACCGGGAGAAUAAGCGCCGGCUAACUACGUG
rnacentral:rRNA from 1 species